CCUACGGGAGGCAGCAGUGAGGAAUAUUGGUCAAUGGACGAGAGUCUGAACCAGCCAAGUAGCGUGAAGGAUGACUGCCCUAUGGGUUGUAAACUUCUUUUAUAAAGGAGUAAAACGAGGCACGUGUGCCUUGUUGCAGUUACUUUAUGAAUAAGGAUCGGCUAACUCCUUGCCAGCAGCCGCGGUAAUACGGAGGAUCCGAGCGUUAUCCGCAUUUAUGGGGUUUAAAGGGAGCGUAGAUGGGUUGUUAAGUAAGUUUGGAAAGUUUGCGGCUCAACCGUACAACUUCAAUUGAGACUGGCAGUUUUUAGUACAGUUGAGGUAAGCGGAAUUCGUGGUGUAGCGGUGAAAUGCUUAGAUAUCACGACGAACCCCGAUUGCGAAGGCAGCUUACUAAACUGUGACUGACAUUGAUGCUCGAAAGUGUGGGUAUCAAACAGGAUUAGAUACCCCUAGUAGUC
rnacentral:rRNA from 1 species